AGUAGUUUCCGGUCGUUCGCGAUUGGCUAACGUUGGUGCUACUUCACGCUUGGGAAAUGAUUUCCGGUUUUAGUAGGCUCGGCCAUUUUCGUCGGUGUUUCGGUACCGUGUGGUCGUUGCUUCAAGCGUGUUCUGAGGUAACGAUCUUUCGAUAAUGGUGAACGGACGAAUUCCUUCGGUCUUUUCGAAGACCUAUGUAACUCCCAGGCGGCCUUAUGAAAAGGCACGUUUGGAUCAGGAGUUGCGAAUUAUCGGUGAAUAUGGUCUUCGUAAUAAACGUGAAGUAUGGAGAGUCAAGUAUACGUUGGCCAAAAUUCGUAAAGCUGCUCGAGAACUUCUUACGCUCGAAGAAAAAGACCCAAAACGUCUUUUCGAAGGUAACGCAUUGUUGCGUCGUUUAGUGAGAAUCGGUGUGUUGGACGAGGGACACAUGAAACUCGAUUACGUUCUCGGUUUGAAAAUAGAAGAUUUCUUGGAAAGACGUCUUCAAACUCAAGUAUUUAAAUUGGGUCUUGCUAAGUCUAUUCAUCAUGCCAGAGUUUUGAUCCGUCAACGUCAUAUUAGAUGUCAGGACAGUUCACCCGAUUGAUCUCCUGACUUGACCAAUAAUAUAAAAACUUGACUUCAAUUGAAUGGGGAAUUUCUGCAUAUGUAACCGAACGACUGCGAAUAAUUAAAAAAUUUGAAGCUACUUUAUUUCACACAGGCCACUUAAAUGUUAGUUAAAUAUUAACAUUUAACGUCUGUUGAUAUUAUUGGAGCAUUGAAACUCUUCAUCCUUAUUCGGGUGCGCAAACAAGUGGUGAACAUCCCCUCCUUCAUUGUACGAUUAGAUUCGCAAAAGCACAUUGACUUCUCUUUGAAGUCUCCAUUUGGAAGUGGCAGACCAGGCCGUGUAAAGAGGAAAAACUUGCGUAAGGGCUCUAGUGGUGCUGCACCCGAGGAGGAGGAAGAUUAAACUAUGGACAUGAUACUUGAAUAAAAGUUAUCUCGAAUGUA